rnacentral:lncRNA from 1 species
AUAGAAUAAGCAAUAUAAUUUUUAGCAAAAUGCCAAGUUGUAUACAUAUAAUCAGGGUUGACAUUCUUACACAAGUGCAGUACAAAAUACAAUUGACCUACGAAACCGUACAGUCAAAGCCCAGAUACGCUGGGCUUGGGCCCAGGGUAUAUAAUCGGAAACGUUGGACUAGAUUUGGUGAGGUGCGCCAGGCCUGGGCUAUAGUGCAAAGCCUAGGCGACGCUCGAAGGACCAGAUAGCAAGCUACCCUAAUGGACCUUCCCCUUAAAAAAUUAAGUUAAUAUCGUGUGGGCUGAUAGCCCACAUAUCAGAUAUUAAACUGAUAAGAACAAAUACUACACUUGAUCUUAGCCAAAAG